rnacentral:rRNA from 1 species
UACGUAGGUCCCGAGCGUUGUCCGGAUUUACUGGGCGUAAAGGGAGCGUAGGCGGACUUUUAAGUGAGAUGUGAAAUACUCGGGCUCAACUUGAGUGCUGCAUUUCAAACUGGAAGUCUAGAGUGCAGGAGAGGAGAAUGGAAUUCCUAGUGUAGCGGUGAAAUGCGUAGAGAUUAGGAAGAACACCAGUGGCGAAGGCGAUUCUCUGGACUGUAACUGACGCUGAGGCUCGAAAGCGGGGGGAGCAAACAGG